AGUGAACGCUGGCGGUAGGCCUAACACAUGCAAGUCGAACGGCAGCACAGUAAGAGCUUGCUCUUACGGGUGGCGAGUGGCGGACGGGUGAGGAAUACAUCGGAAUCUACUUUUUCGUGGGGGAUAACGUAGGGAAACUUACGCUAAUACCGCAUACGGCCUACGGGUGAAAGCAGGGGAUCUUCGGACCUUGCGCGAUUGAAUGAGCCGAUGUCGGAUUAGCUAGUUGGCGGGGUAAAGGCCCACCAAGGCGACGAUCCGUAGCUGGUCUGAGAGGAUGAUCCGCCACACUGGAACUGAGACACGGUCCAGACUCCUACGGGAGGCAGCAGUGGGGAAUAUUGGACAAUGGGCGCAAGCCUGAUCCAGCCAUACCGCGUGGGUGAAGAAGGCCUUCGGGUUGUAAAGCCCUUUUGUUGGGAAAGAAAAGCAGCAGGUUAAUACCCCGCUGUUCUGACGGUACCCAAAGAAUAAGCACCGGCUAACUUCGUG
rnacentral:rRNA from 1 species